rnacentral:rRNA from 1 species
AUGCCGUCGUCGCCGACCGACGCCGCCACCACUGAUCCCCACCCGACCCCCGACCCCGACCCCGGCCGGCCCAGCAACGCCCCGCCCCAAUCGCCGUCCCCAGCCCGCGGGAACCUCUGCACCGGCACCUGCACCACCUGCUCGACCGCCGCGCGGGAGGCCCAGAGGGCGACGCCCGCGAUGGACGGGACUCCGCCGCCCAAGCCCGAGGCGAAGCUGGCGGCCGGCGAGGCCGGGUACGUCCUCGAGGACGUGCCGCACGUCUCCGACUACCUCCCCGAUCUCCCGACCUACCCAAACCCCCUGCAAGAUAACACGGCGUACUCGGUUGUCAAGCAGUACUUCGUUGACCCGGAUGACACUGUCUGCCAGAAGAUUGUUGUUCACAAGGAUGGCCCAAGAGGGAACCACUUCCGACGUGCUGGACCUCGCCAAAGGGUCUAUUUUGAACCUGACGAGGUCCAUGCCUGCAUUGUCACCUGUGGAGGACUCUGCCCAGGACUUAAUACUGUUAUUAGGGAAAUUGUAUGCGGCUUAUCUGACAUGUACGGUGUCACCAAGAUACUUGGGAUUCAGGGUGGGUAUAGAGGUUUCUACGCUCGCAACACCAUCGACUUGACUCCAAAGAGUGUAAAUGACAUUCACAAAAGGGGCGGAACUAUUCUUGGCUCGUCACGAGGAGGCCAUGACACCAUGAAGAUUGUUGAUAGCAUUCAGUACCGUGGUAUAAAUCAGGUGUAUGUUAUUGGUGGUGAUGGUAGUCAAAGGGGUGCAGGAGUGAUUUUUGAAGAGGUUAGAAAGCGUGGUCUCAAAGUUGCUGUUGCUGGCAUUCCUAAGACUAUUGAUAACGACAUCCCAGUAAUUGAUAAGUCAUUUGGUUUCGACAGUGCAGUUGAGGAAGCUCAACGUGCCAUAAAUGCCGCUCAUGUAGAAGCUGGAAGUGCUGAUAAUGGAAUUGGACUUGUAAAGCUAAUGGGUCGAUACAGUGGUUUCAUCGCACAUUAUGCCACCCUAGCAAGCAGAGAUGUGGAUUGUUGCUUAAUUCCGGAGUCACCUUUCUAUCUGGAAGGUGAAGGUGGACUCUUCAAAUAUAUAGAAAAGCGGCUGAAGGAGAAUGGCCAUAUGGUCAUUGUCGUUGCGGAGGGUGCAGGACAGAAACUUAUUGCUGAAAACAUGAAGGAAAUGGGGCAAGAUGCUUCUGGCAAUGCACUGCUUCUUGAUGUUGGUCUUUGGUUGUCUCAGAAGAUAAAUGAGCAUUUCAAGAAAAACAAGACAACCAUAAAUCUGAAGUACAUAGAUCCUACAUACAUGAUUCGCGCCAUUCCUAGCAACGCAUCGGAUAAUGUUUAUUGCACAUUGCUGGCUCACAGUGUGGUCCACGGAGCCAUGGCUGGAUACACCGGUUUUACCGUUGGCCAAGUAAACGGUCGGCAUUGCUACAUCCCCUUCUACAGGAUCACGGAGAAGCAGAACAAGGUCUCGAUAACGGACAGGAUGUGGGCAAGGCUUCUCUCCUCUACCAACCAGCCAAGCUUCCUCAGCAAGCAAGACGUUGACGAUGCCAAGGUCGAGGACGAGAGGACGGCCAAGCUCUUGGACGGCUCGCCUUCCAACCCCAAGGUCGAAGAUGAAGUUGCGUCUUCCAACUCCAACGGUGUGAAGUGA